ensembl:lncRNA
CUGGAAAGCUAUUGGGGGGGUCCUGGAAGGUUCAUAGGGAGAUCCUAAGGGGGCUUUUGGGUCCUGGAAGGUUUAUGGGGGGGAUCUUGUGGAGCUUAUAGGGUCCUGGAAGGUUCAUGGGGGCUCCUGGGGAGGUUUGGGGUCCUGGAAGGUUGAUGGGGGGGUCAUGGGAAGGUUAUAGGGUCCUGGAAGGCUCUUUGUGGGUCCUUGAAGGUUCUUGGGGGGGUCCUGAGCAGGUUAUAAGGUCCUGGAAGGUCCAUAAGGGGUCAUGGGGAGGCUUGAGGUCCUGGAAGGUUCAUAAGGGGGGGGGAGGGGCGGGGACACGACGACUUUGAGAGGUCCUUGAAGGGAUCCUUUGAGGGGUCGGGGGGGUCCCGUGGUGGGUGGGGGUUAUUUGGGGGUGGGUUUGGGGGUCUGAAGUCGCGCUCACCCAUCAGGAGGCCGAGGAGGAACAGCGCGGGGCCGCUGAAGGCCAUGGCGGGCCGGGCCCGGUUCGGGCCUCUUCGGGGAGACCCUUCAGAACGCUUCGGGAUUCUUCGGGUCCGGUUCGGGUCCGUUCGGCAGCGUUCGGGUCACUGCAGAUCGCUUCGGGUCUCUUCGGAUCCGUUCGGAGGCGUUCGGGUGGCCGCAGAUCACUUCGGGUGUCGUCGGGUCCGGUUCGGGUCCGUUCGGCAGCGUUCGGGUCACUGCAGAUGGCUUCGGGUGUCCUCGGGUCCGUUCGGAGGUGUUCGGGUCACUGCAGACCGCUUCGGGUGUCCUCGGGUCCGAUUCGGGUCCUUCCGGAUCCCUUCGGAAGUGUUCGGGUGACCGCAGACCGUUUCGGGUGUCCUCGGGUCCGAUUCGGGUCCGUUCGGAGGCGUUCGGGUCACUGCAGUCCGCUUCGGGUCUCUUCGGCUUCGGUUCGGGUCCUUCCGGAUCCGUUCGGCGGCAUUCGGGUCACCACAGACCACUUCGGGAUUCUUCGGGUCCGGUUCGGCUCCCUUCGGUGGCGUUCGGGUCCCCUCAGGCCGCUUCGUGUCCCUUCGGAGAUCUUCGGCUCCCUUCGGACACCUUCGGGUCCCCUCAGACCACUUCGUGUCCCUUCGGAGACCUUCGGCUCCCGUUCGGCUCCCUUCGGACACCUUCGGGUUCCCUCAGCCGCUCCGAUUCCUUUCGCCCAUCCCAGCGCCGCCUCCUCCGCUCGGCCGCCCCCCCGCCUCCUCGUUCCCGGCCCAUGGACCCCCCGGAGGGGGCGGAGCGAAACCCGGGGGGCGGCCGGAGGAGCUGAGAAUCCGCAGUGAAGAAAAAAUGGGGGAAGGGGGGAAGGGACGGAAGUCACGCCAUGGCCGCUCGGAGCGCUUCGGAGCCCUUCGGGUACCGACUUCCGGUUCCGAGCGCCGUUCGGGUAUUGACUUCCGGUUGCCGAAGAACUUCGGUUCUUUCCGGAGGCGCUCCGCCUAUUGACCCCAUUAUCCCCAACCCAUCCGCUCUCACACCAGCAGUGACCAACGUCCAACCCCAAAACCGCCCCACAGAACCCCAAAACCGCCCCAUAGAACCCCACACCGCCCCAUAGGGCCCCACAGAGCCCCACACCAACUCCAAUGUUUUCACAUUGACCCCAACGUUCCCAUUGACCCCAACGUCCCCAUUGACCCCAAAGAUCCCAUUGACCCCACUGAUCCCAUUGACACCAUUGACCCCAAUGACCCCAUUGAUCCCAAUGCCCGCAUUGAUCCUAUUGACCCCAUAUCCCCCCAGUGACCCCAAGGCAGCAGUGACCAACGGCUGAGCUUUAUUGGACCGCCCCGUCCAACCCCAAAACCGCCCCACAGAACACCAAAACUGCCCCAUAGCGCCCCAUAGAGCCCCAUAGGACCCCAAAACCACGCCACAGAACCCCACACCGCCUCAUAGAGCCCCACAGAGCCCCACAGCAACCCCAAUGUGUCCC